rnacentral:rRNA from 1 species
UGGUUGAUGCCAUGCUUCCAGGAAAAGCCUCUAAGCUUCAGGUAACAAGGGACCGUACCCCAAACCGACACAGGUGGUCAGGUAGAGAAUACCAAGGCGCUUGAGAGAACUCGGGUGAAGGAACUAGGCAAAAUGGUACCGUAACUUCGGGAGAAGGUACGCCGCUUGGGGUGAUCGGACUUGCUCCGUGAGCUCCGGGCGGUCGAAGUGACCAGGUGGCUGCGACUGUUUAUUAAAAACACAGCACUCUGCAAACACGAAAGUGGACGUAUAGGGUGUGACGCCUGCCCGGUGCCGGAAGGUUAAUUGAUGGGGUCAGCCGCAAGGCGAAGCUCUUGAUCGAAGCCCCGGUAAACGGCGGCCGUAACUAUAGCGGUCCUAAGGUAGCGAAAUUCCUUGUCGGGUAAGUUCCGACCUGCACGAAUGGCGUAACGAUGGCCACACUGUCUCCACCCGAGACUCAGUGAAAUUGAGCUCGCUGUGAAGAUGCAGUGUACCCGCGGCUAGACGGAAAGACCCCGUGAACCUUUACUACAGCUUUGCACUGGACUCUGAAUCUGUUUGUGUAGGAUAGGUGGGAGGCUAUGAAGCCGGAACGCUAGUUCUGGUGGAGCCAACCUUGAAAUACCACCCUGACAUAUUUGGGGUUCUAACCCAGGCCCGUUAUCCGGGUCGGGGACAGUGUAUGGUGGGUAGUUUGACUGGGGCGGUCUCCUCCCAAAGAGUAACGGAGGAGCACGAAGGUACCCUCAGCGUGGUCGGAAAUCACGCUUUUGAGUGCAAAGGCAUAAGGGUGCUUGACUGCGAGAGCGACGGCUCGAGCAGGUGCGAAAGCAGGUCUUAGUGAUCCGGUGGUUCUGAAUGGAAGGGCCAUCGCUCAACGGAUAAAAGGUACUCCGGGGAUAACAGGCUGAUACCGCCCAAGAGUUCAUAUCGACGGCGGUGUUUGGCACCUCGAUGUCGGCUCAUCACCCUGGGGCUGAAGCCGGUCCCAAGGGUAUGGCUGUUCGCCAUUUAAAGUGGUACGCGAGCUGGGUUUAGAACGUCGUGAGACAGUUCGGUCCCUAUCUGCCGUGGGCGUUGGAGAUUUGAGGAAAGCUGCUCCUAGUACGAGAGGACCGGAGUGGACGAACCUCUGGUGUUCGGGUUGUCACGCCAGUGGCAUUGCCCGGUAGCUACGUUCGGACGGGAUAACCGCUGAAAGCAUCUAAGCGGGAAGCCUCUUCCAAGAUGAGAUCUCCCCGGGGACUCGACCCCCCUGAAGGGUUGUUCAAGACCAGGACGUUGAUAGGUGGGGUGUGUAAGCGCUGUGAGGCGUUGAGCUAACCCAUACUAAUUGCCCGUGCGGCUUGAUC